GUAAAUAAAAGAAUAAAAGAAUGAAAUAAAAAGAAACAAAGAAAAGAAAGAACAGAGACAUUCGAAACAGAGCAGGAAGAAAAGGGGAAAGAAAAGAAAAAAGGAAAAACUAAAAGUUUAAGGUUUAAAACUUUGAUUGCCAACAAAGAACUUGAAGCAUCAGCAUCGAAAGGAAAGGAGAAAGUCAUCGAGGACAAAAACGGGAGAAUUAAGGUUAGUAGAAGUCAAUUGUCUUGGCUCAGCAUCCAGAACAUUCCCGACUCCAACACAAAUUUGGUGAUGUAUAUUUUUCUUUUGGGUAAAGGUCGCAUGUACAUAGGUGUUGUUUAGUCACUUGAAUAUGUAUAUUACUUUGGGUAGUGAAUGAUGAAUUAUAAGAUUUAGAUGAAUGAAGUUUUUAAUCAAUUUUGAAUGAUGCUAUGAUAGUUAUUAAGUUAAAAAUUAUGUUAAUGAUAUAAAUAUUAGUUAUAUGAAUGUGAAACAUUGGUGUUGGUUGUUUU